ACGGGAGGCAGCAGUGGGGAAUAUUGGGCAAUGGGCGAAAGCCUGACCCAGCGACGCCGCGUGAGCGAUGAAGAUCUUCGGAUUGUAAAGCUCUGUGUACAGGGACGAUAAUGACGGUACCUGUAUAGAAAGCCACCGCUAACUACGUGCCAGCAGCCGCGGGAAUACGUAGGUGGCAAGCGGUAUCCGGAUUUACUGGGUGUAAAGGGUGUGUAGGCGGGGGAGCAAGUCAGAUGUGAAAGGUGUGGGCUCAACUCACAGACUGCGCCCGAAACUGUUCUUCUUGAGAGUCGGAGGGGUAAUCGGAAUUCCUGGUGUAGCGGUGAAAUGCGUAGAUAUCAGGAGGAACACCGGUGGCGAAGGCGGAUUACUGGACGACAACUGACGCUGAGACACGAAAGCGUGGGGAGCAAACAGGAUUAGAUACCCUGGUA
rnacentral:rRNA from 1 species